rnacentral:rRNA from 1 species
GCAUAUCAAUAAGCGGAGGAAAAGAAACCAACAGGGAUUGCCCUAGUAACGGCGAGUGAAGCGGCAACAGCUCAAAUUUGAAAUCUGGCGUAAGCCCGAGUUGUAAUUUGUAGAGGAUGCUUCUGGGCAGCGGCCGUUCUAAGUUCCUUGGAACAGGACGUCAUAGAGGGUGAGAAUCCCGUAUGUGACCGGCGCGCACCCUCCACGUAGCUCCUUCGACGAGUCGAGUUGUUUGGGAAUGCAGCUCUAAAUGGGAGGUAAAUUUCUUCUAAAGCUAAAUACCGGCCAGAGACCGAUAGCGCACAAGUAGAGUGAUCGAAAGAUGAAAAGCACUUUGGAAAGAGAGUUAAAAAGCACGUGAAAUUGUUGAAAGGGAAGCGCCUGCAACCAGACUUCGCGGCAGUGUUCCGCCGGUCUUCUGACCGGUUCAUUCUCUGUCGCGAGGCCAUCAUCGUCUGGGGCCGCCGGAUAAGACUGGAGGAAUGUAGCUCCCCUCGGGGAGUGUUAUAGCCUCCGGUGAUGCGGCGCGCCUCGGGCGAGGUCCGCGCUUCGGCAAGGAUGAUGGCGUAAUGGUUGUCGGCGGCCCGUCUUGAAACACGGACCAAGGAGUCUAACAUCUAUGCGAGUGUUCGGGUGUCAAACCCCUACGCGUAAUGAAAGUGAACGGAGGUGGGAACUUUUUGUGCACCAUCGACCGAUCCUGAUGUCCUCGGAUGGAUUUGAGUAAGAGCAUAGCUGUUGGGACCCGAAAGAUGGUGAACUAUGCCUGAAUAGGGUGAAGCCAGAGGAAACUCUGGUGGAGGCUCGCAGCGGUUCUGACGUGCAAAUCGAUCGUCAAAUUUGGGUAUAGGGGCGAAAGACUAAUCGAACCAUCUAGUAGCUGGUUCCUGCCG